rnacentral:lncRNA from 1 species
UCCUUUUUAAUUCCCUAAGAAUUAUGGGAAAUACUUUCCUUAGCCUUUGAACUUUUGCGUAUUGAUUAACACUACAUUUAAGCUAAUGGUGACUCUUCUUUCCAACUGACUUUUUUUUUUUUAAGAGAGUCCCUUUAAGGUUUUGAUCCUAAAAGAGAUGUGGAUACUUGACCCAGUUGCUAAUGAGGGGCUGUAUAAUCUCCAGUACCCUAUAGCUCAAAAUAGCAGGAUGCAGUAUAAAAAGUACAUCAUAAGAGGCACUAUUGGAAUGCUUUUUGUCUUCACAGGCAAUACGCAAAAAGAUAGGACUUUCUAAGAAAGUCAGAAGCUGGUCUCCUGCAGGCACAGGAAGCCAUCAAAGUCAAAGUGGCCCAAGAACUUGCCAGUCAAGAUGAAAAACUUCUUCUAAUGGAAUCCAGCUUGAAAGCUACUCAAGAGCAGCUAACUGAGCAAAUAGCAGAAACAGUUCGCCAAGAACAGAACAGUAGAAAACCCCAGGCAGAGCUGAAGACAGUGACAGAAGGGAUUAUUGCUUCUGAAGAAGAAAAAAAUGAUUACAAAUCUUCCAUUACAACUUCAUUGCAAAAGGUGUGAAAGAAGAGGGAAAUGAAAUUGGUAAAUAUUUUGAAGCCAGACUGAAAUAUUUGGCCAAGUUUCUAGAACAGUGGAACUAUUUUAAUCAAAGAAAAUCUUACUUAUGUGGCCAAAAAAGAAAAUAACACGAAUUGUACUCUUUGAAGUAGAGUUGAUAAACUUGGAAGGUGGAUCUCCCUCCCUCUCUCCGCAAUUCCCUGCUUUGGAAAGCACUGCCCUCUCCAGAAACCAUUGGAUCUGAAGAGUAUGUAUUGGAAAACCUCCCCUGAAGACCACAUGACAAACAACCAGAAGGUUUACACUACAGAAGACUGGAAAAUCAGAUCUGUGCGGGGAGACAAUGAAGACUAUGAAAACAAUUAGAAAAUAAGAAAAAGUUUGCAAAAAAAAGUCAUAAGGAAAGAAAUUGAAAAAGAUUUGAAAGCACGGUAUUUCGUUUCUGUUAGUUUGUUAGCCAAGCAAAAUUACACACAUGACACAGGCUUCUUUCAACUUGAUGUGCCGAAUGGACGUGGUUAUGUCAUUAAACAAUGCAACAAAAGGGAAAGAAACGUCGUGUUUUGCAGAUGAAGAAGAAAAAUAUUUGUUGGCUGGAGACGCUUGCAGAGUGUCUCCGGCAGAGAUGCGCCAUUGGCGUUUGAAAACAUGAGCACUCUGACUUGCUUUCUAUAAUGAAAAAUUUACUUACAUAACUUUAUGCUUUUUGAUCACUGUUCCAACAAGGAAUUGUGUCCUUGGAGGCAUCUAAUAAUCAAAGAAUUACCUCAUUCACACGAUAGAACAAUCACUGGAAAAUAUAAUGGCUAAUUGGGAUUCUUGAAAUUAAACGUGGUGGUGGUAUUACUUGUGAAAGGAGACUAAAUGGUUCAUGAUUUUAAUUUUAAUCCUAAAGAAUGACUUUCUAAUAGUCAUAAAUGCCUUUCUUUCAAAGAGGUGAUAGACUUCCUGAAAAUGUUCAGUCUUAAUAAGGAUGCCUAUUUGGCAUGCAUGCUUGUCAAGG